AAGACCUUGCACUUUUGGAGCGGCCGAUGUCUGAUUAGCUAGUUGGUGGGGUAAUGGCCUACCAAAGCUUCGAUCAGUAGCUGGUCUGAGAGGACGGCCAGCCACACUGGGACUGAGACACGGCCCAGACUCCUACGGGAGGCAGCAGUGGGGAAUUUUGGACAAUGGGCGCAAGCCUGAUCCAGCCAUGCCGCGUGAGUGAAGAAGGCCUUCGGGUUGUAAAGCUCUUUCAGCCGGGAAGAAAAGGUUGCGACUAAUAAUCGCAAUUCAUGACGGUACCGAAAGAAGAAGCACCGGCUAACUACGUGCCAGCAGCCGCGGUAAUACGUAGGGUGCGAGCGUUAAUCGGAAUUACUGGGCGUAAAGGGUGCGCAGGCGGUUUUGUAAGUCAGAUGUGAAAUCCCCAGGCUUAACCUGGGAACU
rnacentral:rRNA from 1 species